CCAGAGAGGACGGUAAAUCACAGCCUGUGUGACAUGGCGGGACUGGGCUGUGUAACAAGCAUUCGUAGCCGGACUCACUGUGUGCGAAGUGAGGCCGUGAGUCUUCCGGAAUCAGUCGUAGCAAGCAAACCGUUGCAGUGCUAACCCCAUGCUGUUCAAAGCUGCCGCCUACAAAAUAACUCAUGACGACUCCUUAAUUUGGAUAAAUGAGUACGAGCUUGUGGAAGCCCCACUAUGGCCUGAACUGAACAGCUGAUUCAAGCCAAUACACUCUAAUGCUGGCACGAAUGGCAACAUUAGUCCGGACGUACCCUUCUCAGAAAAUCUGCAGAAAAAAAUACUGACUUUAAAGUGAAAUCUGAAUUCAACUGGGACAGCCCCCCCUCCCCACGGGUGACGUAGCUGGUAACGUGAUAUGAUGCCAGGAAUACAGUGUUAAAUACCCUUCACUGACUGUUCCUGUGAUAGGACGAGGUGUUGUCCCAAUAAAACCUGCUAACCCCAGCUCCAAUCAUCAGUGAUCUCCAAGU